AUCCCACCCGGGCAAUCAAGCCAAGGUCCGCAUCCCACCCGGGCGAUUAAGCCAAGAUCAGCAAUCAUUAUCCCACCCGGGCAAUCAAGUCAAGGUCCGCAUCCCACCCGGGCGAUUAAGUCAAGGUCAGCAAUUAUUAUCCCACCCUGGCAAUCAAGCUAAGGUCCGCAUCCCACCCGAGCUAUCAAGCCAAGGGCCACAUCCCACCCCGGCAAUCAAGCUAAGGUCCGCAUCCCACCAGAGCAAUCAAGCCAAGGGCCACAUCCCACCCCGGCAAUCAAGCUAAGGUCCGCAUCCCACCAGAGCAAUCAAGCCAAGGGCCACAUCCCACCCCGGCAAUCAAGCAAAGGUCCGCAUCCCACCAGAGCAAUCAAGCCAAGGUCAACAUCCCACCCGGGCAAUCAAGCCAAGGUCAGCGAUCAUUAUCCCACCCGGGCAGUUAAGCCAAGGUCAGCAUCCCACCCGGACAGUCAAGCCAGGGUCAGCAACCCUCCCCAUUCCUCCGGGCUUGGGACCGGCUCUUAGUUGGGCUGGCUUGCCCCCCAAGAGGCUGGGUUAACAGUUUUGUUACCCCUUUCUUCACCUCUUUC